rnacentral:lncRNA from 1 species
AAACAAGCUUGUGCCAAUGGAGAUUCGAUCCUCUCCUUCACUAUUCUCCACUUCAGGGACUUGGUUUGGAGAACUUUGCUACUCUUCUUUCUUUAUUCAUAGCUUUUUUUACAACUAUUUUUCUCAACCUUGUUAACCUUUCUGUUUGAAGUGGAGAAAUUAAAGAUGAUUGCCUCUGUGCUGGGAUUAAUUUGGCAAUGUGAAUUUAUAUUUGAACACCUCUGCACACGUACACACACACACUUCUCGAUUAUUCUUUGCAAGCUUGGACGAGAUAACGGUAAAUCAUCCUUAGGAUAUAAUUGGUCUUUUUAUUUUUUUUUAUUUUUGUUAUUAUAUGCAUAUGUAUUUGUUCCCAAAUAAUUGUUCUUUGAUCAUGGUUUUGUUUGGCAAUGUGAAUUAAAGAUGAUUGCCUCUAUGCUGGGAUUAAUUUGGCAAUGAGAAUUUAUAAAGGGAAGCGUGUACGUUGUCGCACUCCCUGCCUUCAAAAGGUGCCUAGGUUAUUCUUUGAAGCUUGGACGAGAUUAUCAGAUAACAGUGAAUCAUCCUUGGGAUAUAAUUGGUAUUUUUAUUUUUUUUUAUUAUAUUAUAUGCAUAUGUAUUUGUUCCCAAAUAAUUGUUCUUUGAUCAUGGUUUUAUUUGUUUCCAAAUAGUCCUUCUUUGAUUCAUGUAAUGACAAAGAUAAAGAUAUAAGUCUGGAUGAAAAUUUGGUCAACUCUUCUAAGAAUCUUUACAUUUCAGUCUUUUUUUGAUACUCAAUAUAUACUUUGAGUUUUCUUUGUGGAUGUUACAGGGGAGAGAGCCUAUAAAUGUAUGGUUUACUGUGGA